GCAUUGGGAACUGAGUGGACUGGA
rnacentral:piRNA from 1 species